AGUGAACGCUGGCGGUAGGCCUAACACAUGCAAGUCGAACGGCAGCACAGUAAGAGCUUGCUCUUACGGGUGGCGAGUGGCGGACGGGUGAGGAAUACAUCGGAAUCUACUUUUUCGUGGGAGAUCACGUAGUGAAACUUACGCUAAUACCGCAUACCACCUACGGUUGAAAGCAGGGGAUCUUCGGACCUUGCGCGAUUGAAUGCGCCGAUGUCGGAUUAGCUAGUUGGCGGGGUAAAUGCCCACCAAGGCGCCGAUCCGUAGCUGGUCUUAGAGGAUGAUCAGCCACACUGGAACUGAGACACGGUCCAGACUCCUACGGGAGGCAGCAGUGGGGAAUAUUGGACAAUGGGCGCAAGCCUGAUCCAGCCAUACCGCGUGGGUGAAGAAGGCCUUCGGGUUGUAAAGCCCUUUUGUUGGGAAAGAAAAGCAGCAGGUUAAUACCCCGCUGUUCUGACGGUACCCAAAGAAUAAGCACCGGCUAACUUCGUG
rnacentral:rRNA from 1 species